rfam:Nocardia asteroides NBRC 15531 DNA, contig: NCAST32.
AGCGCGACCGGGUCGACACCGCGGGUCACCACCAGAUAGUCGCGGAUCACCGUGCUGUGCCGCAUCUC